CAAGGGCACUCUGGAAAGCCGGUGGGAGCCCCUGCCGCACCGACGGGGUCAAGGGUUUGAAAAAGCCCGAAUCUCUCAGGUCACAGGACAGAGGGGGGUCA
rnacentral:ncRNA from 2 species